UGGGGAAUCUUGGACAAUGGGGGCAACCCUGAUCCAGCCAUGCCGCGUGUGUGAAGAAGGCCUUCGGGUUGUAAAGCACUUUCAGCAGGGAGGAAGGCUUACCCCUAAUACGGGUGAGUACUUGACGUUACCUGCAGAAGAAGCACCGGCUAAUUUCGUGCCAGCAGCCGCGGUAAUACGAAAGGUGCAAGCGUUAAUCGGAAUUACUGGGCGUAAAGCGCGCGUAGGCGGUGUGUUAAGUCGGAUGUGAAAGCCCAGGGCUCAACCUUGGAAUUGCAUCCGAUACUGGCACGCUAGAGUGCAGUAGAGGGAGGUGGAAUUUCCGGUGUAGCGGUGAAAUGCGUAGAGAUCGGAAGGAACACCAGUGGCGAAGGCGGCCUCCUGGACUGACACUGACGCUGAGGUGCGAAAGCGUGGGGAGCAAACAGGAUUAGAUACCCCGG
rnacentral:rRNA from 1 species